CUUCGUCGAUCUGUUGCGGGCAGAUGAAAUGGAUGUGGGCGUCGAUGCCGCCGGCGGUCAGAAUCUGGCCUUCGCCGGCGAUGACUUCGGUGCCGGGGCCGACGAUGAUGUCCACACCCGGUUGAAUGUCGGGAUUACCGGCCUUGCCGAUCUUGAAAAUCCGCCCCUGCUUGAUGCCGACAUCGGCUUUGACGAUGCCCCAGUAAUCGAUGAUCAGCGCGUUGGUAAUCACCAAAUCCACGGCCUGAUCGUUACCCAACUGGCUUUGGCCCAUGCCGUCGCGGAU
rfam:Methylomonas denitrificans strain FJG1, complete genome.